UUUCUAGGCUGGGCAGGCGGCGGAGGCAGAAGCAAGAGCGGCCGCCGCAGCCGCCUCCUUCCGCCUCUCCAAGUUUGUGCCUGUUGUUAAAACAGGCAGGAGCCUCCCGGGUAAAGACCCGCCUCAGCAGCAGCGACGGUGGCCUGGGCAGUUCACCCAGGCGUGGCCAGAGAGCCAUGAAGAGCCGCCGGCGGUGGAGAUGGCGCUGGCAACACCGGGGCUUCGCCCUGGGCUUGGUACUCUACACGCUGCUGCUCCUGCUGCUGGUGUCCUACAUGUUGGAUUACGGAGCCAGGAGGGGGCGCGCGGGCGAGGAGUUGCUGCCGCCUCGCCACUGCCCCAGCCUGGAGGAGGCGCUAGGGGACUGGACGUGGGGAGAGCAGCAGGAGCAGCGCCCGCCGCCAGAAGCUGCAGCCAGUCAUGGAGGGAACAAGACUGGGACUGGAUUCGAGGCCGGCCCGGGGAGUAGGGCAGGCGGGAAGCGGCACAUUUAUUUGCACGCCACUUGGCGCACCGGCUCGUCCUUCCUGGGGGAACUAUUCAACCAGCACCCGGACGUUUUCUAUCUGUACGAGCCCAUGUGGCAUAUGUGGCAGGCGCUGUACCCGGGCGACGCGCUGAGCCUGCAGGGCGCCCUCCGGGAUAUGAUCCGCUCGCUCUUCCGCUGCGACUUCUCGGUGCUGCGCCUUUACGCGGCGCCGCCGGCCCCCCGCGACCCGCUUGCGCCCUUCCCCGCCGUCUCCGGGGGCAAGUCCGGCAGCAACCUCAGCACGGCUAGCAUCUUCGGGUGGCGGACCAACAAGGUGAUCUGCUCCGCGCCGCUGUGUCCCGACGCGCCCCGGGCCCGCGAUGAGGUGGGCCUCGUCGACGGCGCCGCCUGCGAGCGGAGCUGCCCGCCGCGAGCGCUCCGGGAGUUGGAGGCCGAGUGCCGUAAGUACCCGGUGAUGGUGAUCAAGGAUGUGAGGCUGCUGGAGCUGGGGGUGCUCCUGCCGCUGCUGCGGGACCCAGAGCUCGACCUACGCAUCAUCCAGCUUUUCCGCGAUCCCCGCGCCGUCCAUAACUCCCGCCUGAAGGCCAAGCAGGCGCUGCUUCGGGAGAGCAUCCAGGUGCUGCGGAGCCGGCACCGCGCCGAGCCCCGGGGACUCCCCCGCCGGCAACUCCUGCUGCCCCACGCCGCCGCGGCUCUAGCCGGCGCUGGCGUCCGAGCGCACCAGCAACACCGCGCCGAGUUCUUCCUAGCCGGCGCCCUCGAGGUCAUCUGCCAGGCCUGGCUCCGCGACUUGCUCUUCUCCCGCGGCACCCCGGCCUGGCUACGUGCCCGGUACACGCAGCUGCGCUACGAGGACCUGGUGCUGGAGCCGCGCGCCGAGUUGCGCCGCUUGCUGCGCUUCGUGGAUCUCCCUACGCCGCUCGCCCUCGAGGACUUCGUGCUCAAUAUGACCCGCGGCGCCGCUUACUCCUCUGAGCGCCCUUUCCUUAUCUCCGCCCGCGACGCGCGCGAAGCUAUCCACGCCUGGCGGGAGCGCCUCAGCCGCGAGCAGGUGCGCCAGGUGGAAGACGCCUGCGGUGAGGCCAUGAGUCUCCUCUCCUACCCGCUCAGUGGCGAGGAAGCCAGUCCGCAUGAGGCCACCAGGGGGCGCCCGAACCCUCCUCGGCACCCAGGUGAAGAAGAGGAAAAAGGGAGGAACCUCAAACCCCAAACGCUGCUUGGCAGAAGUAUCUGGCGGCAACUCCUGUUAAAACUCUAAUAGUAGUGUGCACCAAGGUCCUUACUCUGAAGUAACCUUCACUGAGUCCUAGCACUUGGCUAAUUGGCCAGCAGCUGACUUCUGACAGACAACACGGAAGAGCAGCUAUGCAAUCCAUAGCCACUGGAAACAUCAGUGACUUCUACUGUAGGUUCUGCACGGCAGAAUGAAUACUGACUAGCUUUAAUUAAAUGGAAAUUAUUGUACGGAGAACUUCCCGUAAGGAAAGUAACAUGGUGCAAUAUGAAUAGUUGUGACCUUCCGUUUGUGGAGUGGUUUAUCUUCAGCCUACCAGUGUGCUGCUAUUUAUAAGCGCUACUACUUCCAACAAGAGACUUAUUUGUAUUUUUUACUGUCAGCACUUGGACAAUCACUUAUCAUAUCAAGUGAAAUAUAAACAAGAAUGGUGUUUUGUUUAGGAUCUCUUAUACUGAUUUUAGAAUCUUAAAUGUCUUGUUCAUUUCAUAGAGGAGAAACUUCAGCAAACAGGUUGGAGCCAUUUUUAUCCAUGCUUCAAGUAGACCCCUGAAAUCAAUGGGACAAGUCAGUCAUGAGUGUAUAACUCACCUCUUUCAUUAGAUCCAAACAGAUAUCUAGGUUGAGACUCAAGAGUCCUGCCUAAAGGAGGCAUAUGGUAAAUUGUUAACAUAAGGCAUUAGCUUUUAAUUAACCUAUUCAGAUAUGCCGCCCAAUGUAUUUAUUCCUCCUUUUUCCUUGACACUCUUAUGCUCUCUUAUUUGACUAUCUACCUUUCUUAAAGGUUUAGCAACAACUAAAAUGGUGAUGGAAUCAUUAAUGUGACCCACUAAGUGAAGACUGCUGAUGACUUGAAAAACUAGACACACAUUCAUUGUUUUAGAUAGGUUCAGGAACUUAAAUUUGUUUUUAAAAUAAAAUGUUCAGGCUGUGAUGGAAUUGCCAAACACACACUAUUUCCCAACGAGUUUAUUUUCAAUUAAAAAAAACAUUAGAGGAAGCACUGGUGCUAGGAACUGAAACAUUGCAGUAGUUUUUAGUAAGCUCCAUGCCUGUAAAAGAAUGCUAGUUACUAUGAUACCUGGAGAUAUGGGAGUGAAAUUAUGUUUAAACUGACCCAUAAGAAACAAUCACAAGUCAGAAAGACCAACAUUCUAAUCUAAAAUUAAGAGACCUUUAUGGUCAAAGUAAGGCUAUACAUUCUGUGCUUGACAUGUGCAACCACAGAUGUGGUACGUGGAAGAUUAGGGUGUUUUUUUUAAGUGCAGCUUUCUUUAGAAUAGAGGAUUUGGCAAUAGCAGCCAUUGCUGGGUUUUUAAGAUAUAAAAGUGGUCUUUAGUAUAGGACAUAGGAACAGGUAUAUUUUUACGCUUUAUCCAGCUCCAUUCCAGAAUUGUGUUGACCUAACUUUUAUAAAACAGAUUUAAAGCCAGGACCUGACUCCUAGGCUACAGUAGUUGCAUUGCAUCGGAGGCUCCUAAUUUCAUGGCUAUGUUUUUUACUUUAUUCUCAACAUGCUGAAAGGUUGCUUGUUAGCACUCUUGUAAAACACACCUCUGGUAUGAAAGAAGAGGCACAGGACAAAACAAAUGGUUAGAAUUUGGGCCUGACAAAUAGCUUCACCCAUGAGUCCUGGAUAUUUACAGUUGCAUCUAUAUAACUGUACUUUAUGGAAAGUACCACUCUGUUCAAUAGAGCUUACUCCAAAGCAAGUGUGUUUAAGAUUGCACCCUUAGACUUGUACCAUGGAAGGGACUUUUAUUAAAAAGUUACGGUACAGUCAAUGUUAAGCAAGUUCAUGUUUCAUUAACUAGCAUGUAAGGACCUUAAUUCACUUGACAGAACUGAUCAAGCAGUGCUUGUUCUUUCCCAUUGCGAGCACCUAAAUUAUAGUGUAUCUCACAAAUUAGAACAGUGUAGUUCAGUGAUGUCUUACAUUAUAUUGAAUUUUGAACAUUCUUUCAGUACACAUCAGCUUUUGACCUAAUAAUGAAUUAGGGAUAUUUCACCAUUUGCAUGUAGCCAGCAAGUUUAGAGAGCCUGUCUUAAUAAUAGAAAAGCAUACAAAGACUGAUACAUUUAUUUAACAACACAGCAUUUAAUUCUCUCUGCUGGAGAGUAAAGUUAGAGGACAACAUAGAACCAAGGGCUGCAUCACUAUGUUUAGUUUCCUUUCUGCUGUAACAGUGGCUAUGUAGUGCAACAUAAGUUUUAGGACCGUGGGAAACAAGCCAUGGCUCAGUUGUAGAACAUCAGUUUUGCAUGCAGAAGGUCCAAGGUUGAGUCCCUGGCCUCUCCAGGUUGGGCUGGAAGACCUUCCUGAAACCCUGGAGAGCUGCUGCCACCAGUCAGUAGGCAAUACAUAGCCAGAUGGACCAGAGGUCCAGCUUAAUAUACACAGCUACCUAUAUUCAAAUCCUUGUUAAUCAACAAACUUGCUGGGUGACCUUAGGCUAACCUACCUCACAGAAUUGUUGGGAGGAAAAACAUUCAGAGAGGGAGAACUCUGAGAUACUUAGGAUCCAGGAUGGGUAAGUGGAAAUGCAUCAUAAUGUUCUGCUAUUAUGUACGUAACAUUGCACACAUUUCAUCACAUGCUGCUCUAUAUGAUUGGCUGCUAGUGGAUGGGCAGGAAGAAUACACCACAUGAUGUCACAUCACACACAUUUCCAUUACUACACAGUAAAGGGCACAGGAAGGGGAACUUGAUAUAAGGUUGUUUUGGACACCAGCUGCACUUUCAUUAGCAUGUCUAGUUUGGCCCUCACUAGGCAGUAUUGCUAAGUUAGAAAAGUUUGUUGUAAUUAUUGGCUAAAGCACUUACAUUUUUGAAACUUAAAAAUAUGAAGCACCUUUCCCUGCACCAUCUCACUAAUGCAUAAACGGCAUGGAACUCUUGUUUGAAGUCUAAAUGCAGAAGGGGUCAUAUGGGGCUUUUUAGACAGAACACAAUACGACAAAGCUUGGUGUAAUUCUCCUGCUUAAAAGAAGAAAUCAAGUAAGAUUACAGCUGGAUGGGGAGGUGAAGAAAAAUGGAGCAUGUAGGAAACCAUUUAAAUCUGAAAAGAACAGGCCAAGUGUUUAAAAAAUGGCUUUUUGAACACAUUAUGAUAGAUAAUAAUGCAGUAUGAUUUUCACAAAUUGCCUUUUUUUAACAGAACAGCUUUUGACUGUUUAAAAAUGUGCAAUGUGAUAAGUACAUUGCCUUGGAACUGGUGUAUUGUUUUCCUUCCCAACAGAACCAAUCAAAAAGAAAAUCCAAAAAAGAAAAACAGACCCCCACCCAUCCACCACGCUGCUAGCACAAGGUUGGACAUUGGAUUUGGCAGUUCCUCCACUUUGAUUCUCCCACCCUCAUCAUCUUUGGAUUGCUCUGCCCAAAUAGGAACACCUUUAGUGGGUGUUUUAGAAUUUGAAGGGUACCAUUUUGUGAAUUUUUGAACCACUUGAUCUUUGGACAUUACAUUAAAAGAACAACAGUAACUUAAUUUGCACCAACAUAUAGAGGCUCAAUUUGUAUUAAAAUGUUUGUCUUGUUUAAAUGCAGUGAAAUAGAAUAGGCACUAAUAAAGGGCUUAUACAGGGCUCCCAUCAUCAAACUUGGCACUUUUAUGCUGCUGGCCUUUUAUGCUGGAAGCACUUUACUGCUAUCAUAAAUAUGUUUACAGGAGAGAAUUGGUUCAAUCUCUGGCUUUCAAUGAACAUGCACUUGAACACAAAGCACCCAAUAGUUUUUAGGGGAGAAACAAAACUAGUUUAAUACUCAUAAUGGCUAGCUUUCUUAUAAGUA